AGUUCGGAUUGCAGGCUGCAACCCGCCUGUAUGAAGUUGGAAUCGCUAGUAAUCGCGGAUCAGCAUGCCGCGGUGAAUACGUUCCCGGGCCUUGUACACACCGCCCGUCACACCAUGAGAGUCGGGAACACCCGAAGUCCGUAGCCUAACCGCGAAGGGGGGCGCGGCCGAAGGUGGGUUCGAUAAUUGGGGUGAAGUCGUAACAAGGUAUC
rnacentral:rRNA from 1 species